AGGUUAAGCUACAAAGAGCACACGGAGGAUGCCUAGGCGCCAGGAGCCGACGAAGGACGUGGCGAACAACGAUAACGCCUCGGGGAGCUGUAAGCAAGCUUUGAUCCGGGGAUGUCCGAAUGGGGAAACCCGGCUGUCUUCAUCGACAGUCACUACUCACUGAAUUCAUAGGUGAGUGAGAGGCAGACCAGGGGAACUGAAACAUCUAAGUACCCUGAGGAAGAGAAAACAAUAGUGAUUCCGUCAGUAGCGGCGAGCGAACGCGGAUUAGCCCAAACCAAGGAGCUUGCUCCUUGGGGUUGUGGGACGUCUCACAUGGAGUUACAAAGGAACCGGUUAGAUGAAGAGGUCUGGAAAGGCCCGCCAGAGAAGGUAAAAGCCCUGUAGUUCAAAACUUGUUCCCUCCGAGACGGAUCCCGAGUAGUGCGGGGCACGUGAAACCCCGUA
rnacentral:rRNA from 1 species